rnacentral:lncRNA from 1 species
UUCUUGAGGCCCCUCAUGGGGGGGGGGGGUCCUAGUAAUCACAUAAUCACCAUUUUUUUGCCAAUAUAAUCACAUAAUCAUUAAAUAUUUGCUUAUCUUUAGUAAUCAAAUAAUCAUAAACUAAAAAUACAGUCCUAGGUAAUCAAAUAAUCAUGAAAUAUUUGGCUUAAUAAUCAAAUAAUCAUUAAAAAAAACGGCCAAGUAAUCACAUAAUCAAAAACCCCAUGAGGGCCCUCAUUCUUGCUUUAUAUA